UACGUAGGGUGCGAGCGUUGUCCGGAAUUAUUGGGCGUAAAGGGCUCGUAGGCGGUUUGUCGCGUCGGGAGUGAAAACACCGGGCUUAACUCGGUGCUUGCUUUCGAUACGGGCAGACUAGAGGUAUGCAGGGGAGAACGGAAUUCCUGGUGUAGCGGUGAAAUGCGCAGAUAUCAGGAGGAACACCGGUGGCGAAGGCGGUUCUCUGGGCAUUACCUGACACUGAGGCACGAAAGCCGGGGGAGCAAACAGG
rnacentral:rRNA from 1 species